rnacentral:rRNA from 1 species
AUACGGAGGGUGCAAGCGUUAUUCGGAAUCACUGGGCGUAAAGGGUGCGUAGGCGGUUUGAUAAGUCUGAUGUGAAAUCCUAUGGCUCAACCAUAGUACUGCAUUUGAAACUGUCAGACUAGAAUACUGAAGGGGCAGAUGGAAUUAGUGGUGUAGGGGUAAAAUCCGUAGAUAUCACUAGGAAUACCGAAAGCGAAAGCGAUCUGCUGGGAAGUUAUUGACGCUGAGGCACGAAAGCGUGGGGAGCAAACGGGAUUAGAUACCCUUGUAGUCC